UCUUUACGUUGAAUAAGACCAUGUACAUAGGAGAUUUUUUGUGGGUAUCAUAAGCCUAAAAAUAUUAAAUUAAUAGACAAAGCAACUGAUUUGGACUUGAGAAGUAUCACUGGAGUGAUAUUUCUGAUACCUGUCUCUAAUGACGUGGCGACUUGUAAUUAGUCGAAAAAACGCGUUUUUGUGGAAAAUGAGAGAAAAAAAAAUUAUUUGCUCUCGACUAUCGCUCCAGUAGCCGAUGCUAGCAUGUAAUUUCGAUUUU
rnacentral:sRNA from 1 species